rnacentral:misc_RNA from 1 species
AAGUCGUAACAAGGUUUCCGUAGGUGAACCUGCGGAAGGAUCAUUACCAAAUCCAAAAAAAAACUUUCUAUCAACACCCCAAUGUGAACUGAGAAUGGUUUCGUCCCUCCGAAUUCUUCUCUUCUUCGGAAGAAAGGGAGGAGGAGGGAUGUUCAAACACAUUUUUUUUUCAACCCCUUUUCAACCAUUAAAACCCCAUUUUUUUAAUGCUGAAAGCAAAACAAAAAAUACGAAACAUGAGACAACUUUUAACGGUGGAUCUCUUGGCUCGU